CCAAUUGAUUGAUGGUGCUUGCACCUGAUUGAUUUUGGUUGCCAACGAGUGGCGGACGGGUGAGUAACACGUACGUAACCUGCCCAGAAGCGGGGGACAACAUUUGGAAACAGAUGCUAAUACCGCAUAACAGCGUUGUUCGCAUGAACAACGCUUAAAAGAUGGCUUCUCGCUAUCACUUCUGGAUGGACCUGCGGUGCAUUAGCUUGUUGGUGGGGUAACGGCCUACCAAGGCGAUGAUGCAUAGCCGAGUUGAGAGACUGAUCGGCCACAAUGGGACUGAGUCACGGCCCAUACUCCUACGGGAGGCAGCAGUAGGGAAUCUUCCACAAUGGGCGCAAGCCUGAUGGAGCAACACCGCGUGAGUGAAGAAGGGUUUCGGCUCGUAAAGCUCUGUUGUUAAAGAAGAACACGUAUGAGAGUAACUGUUCAUACGUUGACGGUAUUUAACCAGAAAGUCACGGCUAACUACGUGCCAGCAGCCGCGGUAAUGCGUAGGUGGCAAGCGUUAUCCGGAUUUAUUGGGCGUAAAGAGAGUGCAGGCGGUUUUCUAAGUCUGAUGUGAAAGCCUUCGGCUUAACCGGAGAAGUGCAUCGGAAACUGGAUAACUUGAGUGCAGAAGAGGGUAGUGGAACUCCAUGUGUAGCGGUGGAAUGCGUAGAUAUAUGGAAGAACACCAGUGGCGAAGGCGGCUACCUGGUCUGCAACUGACGCUGAGACUCGAAAGCAUGGGUAGCGAACAGGAUUAGAUACCCUGGUAGUCCAUGCCGUAAACGAUGAGUGCUAGGUGUUGGAGGGUUUCCGCCCUUCGGUGCCGGAGCUAACGCAUUAAGCACU
rnacentral:rRNA from 1 species